UACGGGGGGGCAAGCGUUGUUCGGAAUCAUUGGGCGUAAAGGGCGCGUAGGCGGUGCCGUAAGUCUGGUGUGAAAUCCCCGAGCUUAACUCGGGUCCCGCGCCAGAGACUGCGGUGCUCGAGUGUGGGAGAGGAGAGUGGAAUUCCCGGUGUAGCGGUGAAAUGCGUAGAGAUCGGGAGGAACACCGGCGGCGAAGGCGGCUGCCUGGACCAGUCCUGACGCUGAGGCGCGAAAGCUAGGGGAGCAAACAGG
rnacentral:rRNA from 1 species